rnacentral:rRNA from 1 species
AAUUAAGCAUAUCAAUAAGCGGAGGAAAAGARACCAACCGGGAUUACCUCAGUAACGGCGAGUGAAGCGGUAACAGCUCAAAUUYGAAAUCUGGCUCUUCCGGAGUCCGAGUUGUAAUUUGUAGAAGAUGCUUUGGGAGGUARGGCCGGCCUAAGUUCCUUGGAACAGGACAUCAGAGAGGGUGAGAAUCCCGUAUGUGGCCGUGGCCUACGCCCGUGUAAAGCUCUUUCGACGAGUCGAGUUGUUUGGGAAUGCAGCUCAAAAUGGGUGGUAAAUUUCAUCUAAAGCUAAAUAUUGGCCARARACCGAUAGCGCACAAGUARAGUGAUCGAAAGAUGAAAAGCACUUUGGAAAGARAGUUAAACAGUACGUGAAAUUGUUGAAAGGGAAGCGCUUGCAACCAGACUUGGGCGUCGUCRAUCAUCCGGGGUUCUCCUCGGUGCACUCSACGAGGCACAGGCCAGCAUCGGUUUGGAUGGUUGGAGAAAGGCCCUAGGAACGUAGCUCUCUUCGGGGAGUGUUAUASCCUARAGCGCAAUGCACGCCCAUCCGGACUCGAGGACCGCGCCUUUGGCUAGGAUGCUGGCGUAAUGGUUGCAAGCGACCCGUCUUGAAAAAG